rnacentral:lncRNA from 1 species
GCCGCUCGCCGCCUCUUUGUCUGCUCCGGGACUUGGAACAAAAGGGGGAACUCUGAUGAACUCUCUCCUCCCCUCUUCCCCGGACGCCCGGGUAUCUCCCUCUCGCAACUUUGCCGCCGCGACUUUCUCCGCUGUCAGGCCACACAAAAGUGUCCGAGCGCCUCGCGGACAGCAACGAGGGAAAGGUCUCCAAAAAGUGCGACCAAGUGGGGAAGAAGGCGUGAUUACCACUGUCAGCGUCUAGAACGCAUCAUGAGUACGCUGAGUUCCUCUGUACUGCAUUGUUCUUAAGGAUCAGUGAUCUUUAUGGACGUACAAUACAACAUCGAGUCAUUCCUGGAUGAAAAGUUAUCAAACUUCGUCCUUUGGAGUUACUUAAAAGUUAAGAUGUUGGAAUUUUUGAUAAUGCCUUCCCUAUGUGGAUUACUACAAUUUGAUCCCUGGGAAUUCUCCACCUUAAAGAAGUACUCUCAGGGGACUACAGAAGCGUCCACACCAUGCAUGUUCAGAAAUGCUGUGAGGACAGAAAUAUUAUGUUCUUAUAAAGGAGAAAGCAGAAGCUCAGAUUUCAAGGACUUGGGCCCAAACGGCGUUCAACUGGAAAGCUGGUCAUCCCUGAGGUCAUCGCUGAGCAUCCUUAACUGCCCCUGAUCUGUGGAUAGCUGCUCUGUUGCCCAUUUCAUUAGAUGCCCUUAAAACUAACAGAAAAGGGAAACAGCUGACGGUAAGAUAUUUUCCCCCCUCUGAGAAAAUUUCUAGCUUACUUUUAAGUGCUGCCAACACAAGGUUUUUCUUAUGAGUGGGUGGUAUGACUAUGGUUCAGAAAUGUUUUUAGGACAUUAAAAUAUUCAGAACCUUUUUUGGAUAUCUUUCCAAGGGAUAGAACAGGAAGAAGAAGAUUGAAAGAGCACUUUACAGAUAAGUUUUCAAAUAUUCAAAUAUUUUUGACGUUCUGAGUUUUAGAUCCCAGUGUUCCAUUGGCUUCUGGCUGUCACCCCUGGUCUGACCCACCAAUACUUUAAACUGAAAAUAGCCAGAGACAAACCCAUACUGUCUGUUCUGCUCUCUCCUCUUGCUUUGACUUUGUACUUCAAAGAUGGUCGUUGUCAUUUACCUGCUGCUCGCGUGCCCUACCAAACACUCAUUCUUUAUUUAAGUAACUUGCCAUGUGCUCUGAAUAUUGUUCUAAUCCAUCGCUAUUUCCCCAUCCUUAUAUGUGGUCUCUGUCAUCGCCAGCAUUGGCUGGUUCGAGCAUCUUCUUGCUGGGCCACAUAGUCUAUUGCUCCCACCUUCCUGAAGUAGAUCACACUGAGUUAUUUCCCUUAUUGACUGAAGAGCACAGUUACUUUUUAGCAUUUCAUGUCCUCUUCCUCUCAUUUCCAAAAUCCUCACAUACCUGCAUCCACAAAUGUCUCUGCUUUGGUGGUCUGGUCCUGAGCUAUCCACACUGCAGGUAAAUGUUUUCCAUCUUUUCCAUCUUGCUAUAUCCGGUGAGUAUUGACAACUAAGCGACUAUACUAGACCAGAAAUUGGGUGGCCUAGGGAUGACCUCUCAGUUGCUGUAUCUCUCCUUUCAUCCCCACUGUCCUUCAUGGCCAGUUUCCUUCCCCAUGCGUCAUCAUUUGGUGGCCGUGAUUUGCGAUUUUUCCACCCGUCUCGUUUUGACCUGGUCUGGGCUAUUCCUGGGAUCUCAUUACCUAGUUACUCAGUUGAAUAAUCUAGCCUUCCUCUGUGGCUUCAGCUUGGACCACAACAUCCUGAUAGCUGAGGUCCCUUGCAUCUGAGUUACUCCAAUCAAGACUGGUGGUUGUGACACCUAAGGAGCACCUGGGAGAUGACUCUGCUCAUUGUGUUUUUGUUUCCUAGGACUGUAACAAAUUGCCACAAGCUUGGUGGCUUACAGCAACAAAUCGAGGUGUUCACAGGGCCAUGUGCCUUCUGGAGGCCUAGCACAGAACCUGUUGCUUGUAUUUUCUGGUGUCUAGCAGCUACUGAGAUUCCCUAGCUUGAGGCUGCAUCACUCUGGUAUCUGCCUCCAUGGUCCGAAUGCCUUUCCCUCUUCUGUCUGUGAUCAAAUUUCCCUCUACCUCCCUCUUAUAAGCAUACCUGUGCUUGCAUUUAAGACUCAACUGGAUAAUCCAGAAUAAUCUCUGCAUCUCAGGAUCCCUAAUUUAAUUGUGUUGGCAGUGUCUUUGCCAUACAAGGUAGCACUUACAGGUUCCAGGGAUAAAGGGCCUGUUAUUUUUGGAGGCCGUUAUUCAUGCUAUGACACUAUGCUUUACCCACCUAGCUUGGGUCUGCCCCUUCUCCUGGAAGCCCUGGUCCCAACCAUUCCUGAGUCAUGGUUAUGCUUGGCAAGCCCAUUGGCUUCUCUGCCUCUUUAUCUGUCACGCCUCCACCAAGAGAAUUGGCCUCAGCAAUGCUGUCGGUGUCCCUAGGGUCUGCCUCAGGCCAGGGGCUGGUGCCACCUCUCCUGCCCCUGUCUGUUUUACCUUAGUCUUGUACACUGAGUUACAGAAAAUACCAAGUCCCUUUUCAGAAAUACUCUGUGAUGCUCUCUUUCUCUUAUCCUACAAAGCCUUGCUAGUCAAGCCCUCCCAGUCUCCAUUGUGCUUCCUUUAAGGAGGGCCUAUUUGAGACACACCCUGACAUAGGGGCUGCUAUUUGCUUAUUGAGAAAGCCCUGUGCCCUUCUUCUGUAGUUGGUGUAGUUGUGUUCAUUUUGUAAGGUCCUGUUCCAGUGUCAGAUUCUUUGAAGCUUUCCUGAACCUGCCCCCCAACCCUCCAUGCAGAAUUAAUUACUUCUUUCCUCUGUUCCUCCAAAGCACUCUGUUUGUACUUGAUUCUAACCCACACUGUUUUCUCCUUUAUCGUGUCUGUCUGCUCCUUGCCAGACUUUGAGGUUCAUUAGAGCCAGGAAUAGGAUAUUGCUUAUCUUUUUUAAUUUUAACCUGACACAUGGCCCACAAUAAGUGUUUAAUGUAAUACUGUAUAAUAGAAUAAAUGUGUAUUGAAUCCAUUCAAAUAUCAAAUUUUCCAUAACAUUUAAUACUUUUCUCCCGAUUUCCUUGUGAACCCCAAAGUAAUUGUUUUCUAGAGGUGGCAAUGUAAAAUCCAUUUUGGCUUUGUUUCUGUUACAAAUGGGUCAAAAGUACUCUAUGUUUUCUGGGCUCAAAUUUCAUUCAGUGUGAGGACAUCAUUACAUGUACCCCUCCAUGGAACCAACUUAAUAAGAGACUUGACUAGCACUGGAAAACUACUAGAAUGAUGUUGCUUGAUUGUCUUUGUGUAGCUCUGAACCUUUAAGCAAGAAUUUGGGUUUACGUGUCAGGAUUGCAUCAUUUGUACUUACUGGUGAUUUGUCGAAACACUGUUGUAUUUUUUUUCCCCUUUAUCUAGAUAUUUGAUUUUGUCUGAGUAGUUGUGAAUUUCAGAGUUAUUUCCCCCACCUUUUCCCUAGAAGCUGGGGGGUGACGUGGCCUGCCGCCUCCCUGGUCUUAAAUGCUGUGUCCUGUGUGGUAUCUGCUGUGUUGCAUUCCUGGUGUCUGUUUCCUGUUUCUGUAGCCUGGAGCCUCUUAGGAGUUUUGUCGAGGGUGCUGGCAUUUUAUUAAGUUGCACGUCUUAUAUUUAUGAGAAACUCAAAGGGCUUUGAGGAUUUUCUUUUUUGGGAUCUAAUCUUCUGGCAGCUCUCUGAGGUAGGUAGUGUGAAGCGUUAUCUCCAUUUUGCAGAUGUUAUAACAGAGGCAUAGCACAACUUGAUGCAGGCCCCAUAGCAAAUCAAGGGCUGAGGGGAAAAUGUCUCCUGCGUCUUUCAACCUCCGUUUCAGUGAUUGAGAUGCCAGAUGACUUGAUUUUAAUUUUUAACACUCCUACCCAUUUUGACUUUGCACAGAAUAUUCUUAACAGCACUUGUGAGGCAGUCAGGGCUCGAACUUUAAUACUUUUCUGUCUUUACCGCUUCUCUCAUUUUUGUUAACGUUUGCACACACCUGUGUGUGUGUGUUUGAUUUAAAAAUUACAUAUGUAUAUAUUUCUUUCAAAAGAAUUCGUAUACAAAGUUAGGGCCUGCCAGUGGUUAUCUGGUCUGGGAACUGCAUGUAAAUAUGGGGUUUCAGCAUCAUCAGCUUCUCUUGUGCUUUUAACAAACUUGUCAGGUGGACAUACUGCAUAGAUAUGAGCCACGUACAUGAAAACAUUUAAAAGUAUAACCCGUGACAAGUAAUACUGUAAAAUUGGAUGGCAAGUACUCAUUAAUAUAUUCAAUGCAUGCUUUUUUAUUUAGUUAAUUCUUCCCCCGUAAAUAAUAGUAUUUCCAGAAGUGAGCUAGCCCCUGAUGUAACUUUCAUAUACUUUUCCUCAAA